CCUGGCGAGAGUUCUGGGUACUUGCCUCAUGAGAGGGUUGUGUCUGGAGGAUCUCCUAAGCAUCCCAUAGAGCAGGCUGCCUGUAGUGGAGCCCGGCGCAGGAGGCGGGACCCUGAGCUUCCCUCGGAGAGUACAACACAGAAGAGGAAAAAUGGCCAUUGUCCAUCUAGAAGGGAAAUUUGAGAAAUCAGGGAUGUUUAAUGAUGUUGCUUUUGACUUCUCUAAGGUAAGAGUGGAAACACUUCGCCUCUGCUCAGAGGGACUUAUACAGAGAUUAUCUUUGUAAAGUAUAGUAACUCAGUGUCACUUGGGAAUUCAUUUCUGCCCUUUGUAUCUCAAUGCCUAC
rnacentral:lncRNA from 1 species